GAUUUGAAUUUUCGGCAAAAGCUCUAUAACAAAGUGAUGCUCUGCAAAUGGGGUAGGAGGCGAUGCCUCGUCCUCCUACCCAACUCCUAUUCCGGCACGUCCACGUCGUGCAGAGCGGUAACAUGCGUUACUAGGGGUGCAAGAGCUCUUUUUGAGGAGGAGCUCUUUUUGCUGCACUAGUUGCGGUAGAUGGUAACGCAUGGCUAAGCCGGAAAGGGGGAGACAGGCCAACAAAUUAGUGCUGGAAAUUUGUUGGUUCUGGCUUCUGUAAAUAGUGUAAAGUCCACAGUUCCUGCUGUACGAAGUAGUGAGGCUCAGCAUCCCGGCCUAACCUUCAACGGCAAACGAAAAAACAGCGGAGCUAAUCAAUAAUUACUAUUUUCAAACUGUUCCAAGUGUUCUGGAGCGUACAAUUUUAAUCAUUGGAAAAGUUCAACAAAACACCAGCCCCAAUGGCCAGCAAUUUGUUCGGAGUUUGUGGGACAAAAUCUUCACCAGUGAAGCGAUCGAUGUUUAAGAUCCAGAGCUGACAGCAAAUUGAAGACAUUCUGCACUGGAUUUGUAACCUUUUCAAGAAUCGAUCUCCCUACCCUUUGAUACAAGCUUUGCCUUCAACUAAUACUGGUGAGUUUUAUGUAAUGUUUUACUGCUUCUGUAUUGAAUUUAUGAUAAAUAGAGUGUAAUAGCCUUAAGCUAUAAUCAAUGAAAUAUGGACACUUUCAAUCCAUGACUUUGAUUAUCAUCAAACAGUUCAACAAUUCAACGACCAACGGCUUCAAAAGAUCAACCUAAACGCGAUCAACCAUCUGUCCUCAACCAUCUAAUCAACCAUUACAAUCAACUCUGCAAUUCAACAAUCAAUCGGCAAACCGAUCAACCCGCCACAAUCAGCUUAGUUGUGAUAAGGUAUAGUGGUACCCCGCUCAUGAAAAGCAACUUAUACUCUGCUGCUUCGGGCGACAACAAAAAUGUAAAUGCAAUGAUUAGAUUAUGUUGGGUUGGGUUUUUAAAUUACAUUUAAUGUUUAUUUUUAUUAUUUAGAGCCUCUCGAAAUAGCUUUAAGUUUAUCGAAACAUUCUUUUCAAUUCAGUAGAAUGUGUGAGUAUAUGUGCGUAUGUGUGUGUGUGUGUUUUUUUUUAAUUAAUUUUACAGUAAGUGAUGAUUUUUUGUCUCUUAUUCAAUACUCUUAGAUUAUUUUAUAUCUCUAAUGCUCACAGCAAUACAGUCACUUGGCCUCAUAGCAAUAUCUAUUGCCGCACUUGCCCUGAAGCUGUUUGCUAUACAGUGGAACCCCUCAUAACGAGAACCCGUUUACAACGAGCAAAUCUAAAUGCUCAACCAAUACCACUCUUAACGAGUAAAAUCUCGCACAACGAGCAAUAUGUUCCUGGUACAUUUUUCGCAUGCCGGUGUGCAAUCAACUUCACGAUUACAUUGAGUAUUUCUUUUAUGUUGAAUAUAUUUCUUCCUUAUCCGGCACUGAAACCGCUUUGCGCUUUAGGCCUGCCCUGAGUGUCCGGAACCGCUCACGGUCUCGCGCCUUCGUUUGCCAGUCCGUUAUCCCGGCCUUAAUGGUGGACGCCUCCAGGCCAUCUUGCCAGCUCAAUUUGUGCCUCUAUACUUGUGGACGGCCCUUCGGAGCCUGGCGAGCUUGAUACGCUGCACGACAGUGAGGUCGCUGUACAUCUCGUCUCGAAUGUGGACUAUUACUCAGGAAAAAGUUCGCAAAGGCAAAAAAUGUGAUAUACGUAAUGUAAUCGAGUAUUUCUAGAGCAUUUUUCUGGAUUUACUUGCUCAUGAAGACGAGAAUUUCCCCUACAAUUUCGGUACGUCAAUCAUUUGUCAAGUGUUAGUCGAAACGUAUUUCGUGUGAUCUUUCCAAGAAAUUUCAACAAUCUUUAAUUAUUGGCCUGGUACUUGGAAGCUUCCGAGAACAGGUAUAUCUGGUGAAGAAGAUAGCUUCAGAUUUAAUUGAAGUUUCCAUUUUGUACAAUAUUUACCAUAUUAUUUUAAGUGCCGUGUUUAGAUUUUUAACAAUAGUUUUUGGAUUUUUCGCUGCAGAUGAAAGCGCAACAUCGUCAGCAUAAAAGUAUUGCUCACAGUUCUUCAUGUAAGGAAUAUCUAAAGUAUAUAUGUGCGAUAGUAAAGGCAAACAGAACACUGCUUUGAGUAACACCGGUUUUUGGCGUACGUAUACUUGAUGUGCUAUUUAAAAUAUGUGUUCUGUUAUGUCGAUUAGAAUGAAUGAAUUUACUAUAUUGAUAAAGUAACUUGGAAAAUUUGGUUGGAUGAGUUUGUAAAGUAAACCUUGAUAUCAGAUAGAGUCAAAAGCUUUCUCAGUAUCUAGAAGAAUUAUUACAUCUGUUGUGUGUGGUAUUGUUCAUUAAUCUAUGGAGUUGGUGUGUAGUAGCAAGAGUGGGACAGAAACCAAAUUGACUAUUCGGGAUUAUGUUGUUGUUGGACGUAUGGAGUGAUAGUCGGCUUUCUAAUUUUUUAUUUUUAAAUAUUGUACCCAAGGUACUAAAAAUCUAUAGUUUUCUAGUUGACUGUUAUCUGUGGUUUGGGUAUCGCUAUAACUUAAGUUAUUGUCAAUCCAUUUGGAAAGUAGCCAUGUUUUAGGCAACUAUUUUGAAUGGUAUUGAGGUAAAUAUUGCCUUUUGGAGGUUUUUUUUUGAGUAUGUAGUUGAAACAGUUUGAUUUUAUUAUGUUAGUCUUUUUUCAUUGAAAUUAGAUCUAUUGAGACUUAUUAUUUUAACGUAUUUUUCAGUCAGUGUCUUUGCCACUGUCUGUGACACAUAUUUCGAAUUUUUAUAAGGUUAAUAAUAUCUAGGGAGGGGUUAUUGAAUUAUACCUUCCUGCUGAUUGUAAUGGUAUUGCAAUAUGCAGGAAACGUCUAUCAUCAGCACAUUUGCGGUCCGGGAACGAAUUAUUCCACUUUUUCUUACAAAUUAUAUGGACAAUUCAUAACUAGCUUUUUCAAAUAACGAGUUAGCACACUGGAUCGAGUUUAAUCGUUAUGAGAGGUUCCACUGUAUUCCAUUUAUGAAAUCACGCCUGACAAUGUUUUGUGAACUUCGCCCCAUUAUCUGUCACGAUCCUAAUUCGUAAUUUCUUUUUUGUGCCUUACUCUCGCGUGCUGUACCGGUAAAGUGUCACUUUUCGAAACAAAACAACAGUGACAAACUACUACUACUAUGUAUAUGAUAAUUCCCUUGAUGUAAGAGAGUAAAGAUUUGGACGGUUUCAAACGCUUUGGUAAGCAGAUACACCGUUGGCAGCGUCUUAAGCCACUGCGCUCGUGUGUAUCGAAUAAGCUGCCC